AGGCCUAAUACAUGCAAGUCGAGGGGUAUAGAUAGCUUGCUAUUUAGAGACCGGCGCACGGGUGAGUAACGCGUAUGCAACCUACCUUCUACAGGGGAAUAGCCCGAAGAAAUUCGGAUUAAUGCUCCAUGGUUUAAUUGGAUGGCAUCAUUUGAUUAAUAAAGAUUUAUCGGUAGAAGAUGGGCAUGCGUAUCAUUAGCUAGUUGGUGUGGUAACGGCAUACCAAGGCGACGAUGAUUAGGGGUCCUGAGAGGGAGAUCCCCCACACUGGUACUGAGACACGGACCAGACUCCUACGGGAGGCAGCAGUGAGGAAUAUUGGUCAAUGGAGGCAACUCUGAACCAGCCAUGCCGCGUGCAGGAUGACGGUCCUAUGGAUUGUAAACUGCUUUUGUACAGGAAGAAACCUCGCUACGUGUAGCGAUUUGACGGUACUGUAAGAAUAAGGAUCGGCUAACUCCGUGCCAGCAGCCGCGGUAAUACGGAGGAUCCGAGCGUUAUCCGGAAUUAUUGGGUUUAAAGGGUUCGUAGGCGGUCAGAUAAGUCAGUGGUGAAAUUUCUUAGCUUAACUAAGACCCGGCCAUUGAUACUGUUUGACUUGAAUAGUAUGGAAGUAACUAGAAUAUGUAGUGUAGCGGUGAAAUGCUUAGAUAUUACAUGGAAUACCAAUUGCGAAGGCAGGUUACUACGUACUUAUUGACGCUGAUGAACGAAAGCGUGGGGAGCGAACAGGAUUAGAUACCCUGGUAGUCCACG
rnacentral:rRNA from 1 species